rnacentral:rRNA from 1 species
CAGUAGCCACGGGAAUACGGAGGAUGCAAGCGUUAUCCGGAAUCAUUGGGUUUAAAGGGUCCGUAGGCGGUCUUGUAAGUCAGUGGUGAAAGCCCAUCGCUCAACGGUGGAACGGCCAUUGAUACUGCAGGACUUGAAUUAUUGGGAAGUAACUAGAAUAUGUAGUGUAGCGGUGAAAUGCUUAGAGAUUACAUGGAAUACCAAUUGCGAAGGCAGGUUACUACCAAUUGAUUGACGCUGAUGGACGAAAGCGUGGGUAGCGAACAGGAUUAGAUACCCCGGUAGUCCCUGUCUCUUAUAC